AAACAACGACAAUUGUUUGUGUUGAGUAUAGAUUGUUUUUCUUGAAAAACUAAAUUACGUGGCGGCUGAACAACUAAAUAGAGGGGUAUGUUUUAUAAAUCGAAUUUACGCGAAUAUCUUAUCUAAUCUUGAAUUAAAUUUCAUUUUACACACCGCCGUCGGAAGUAUAAAUUGUUAGAUUUAUUCUUUUUCUUAUUUUAGGAACUAAGUCAGGUCAACGUGUAGAUAAUGGUUAGGUCAAAUUGUAUCUCUCUAUUAUUAUUAUUAUGUUCUUUUAUAAAUUUGAAAUAGUAUUAGAUAAUUGAAUUUAUAAGUUA
rnacentral:rRNA from 1 species